CUCCAUGAGAUGGACAAAUAACUGUUUGUUCAUCUCAGCAGGUAAAAACCUGUAGUAGAAGAAUUAUAAUUUAAAUUGUGUGGCUGCUUAUCUUCUGUCAUGGUCCAGUUUUAGCAGAAUGACAAAGGUCGAUUUUGUUUAUUGCCUCGUUUGAUGGAGUUCAAUUCUACAAACCUGCUUGCCUAUCUAUAGAGAGCUGAAGUAAGAACCAGUAAGAAUCAUUCAGAAUCCUACUGACAUCUGUAACUAAGUGAAUAACGAACAACCCAGCCUUGGAGCCUUUUUCAACAGUAUGUUGUGUGGCUUGCUUGAAACAAGCUCAUAUUUUUUUAGCUGCCAUUUCUCAUUUCCCAUGAGCUCUUGACGUUCACGGUCAUGCCCGAGAGAUGAGGCAAAUCCAUGAACGAGUCGAGGGAGAUCACAACAGUCUGUUGCAGAGCACCAGUAACUUGGACCUUGUGCUCCGACAAGGACACGAUCCCUCACUGGCUUCCCAGUCAUGAACACAGCCACUUGUGCUUGCUGGAGAUCCCACAACUGAAAUCACUUCAACUGUGCAUUUUCAUAAUGAACUUCCUGGGGUGAUGUGGGUAAGGCUGGCAGAAAUACAACCACAGGUGAUAAAUACAGCAAGAAGCUGAUCUCCCUUGCCGCAGAAAAGAGGCUAAUUAAAUUUUCAUGUAGAUAAUCAUGAGCUAAUCCACUGUUAAUUGUGCUUCUUUCCGACACAGUGGCUCCCUCAUGGGAUCCAACAUUAUGUCCAUGCAGCAUUUCCUUUGCUUAAACGCCUCUUAGAUUUAAUGGACUCUUCCAUACACUGAUCCUCAGCAGCUCCUCGCACACGACCACACAAAGCCUGAACGCAUCCAUCAACAAUAAUCCCCUCAAUGAUCUCCAUUUUAUCUUUUCACUCCCCUCCUCCUCCUCCUCCUUACUCAUGUCCCUACACAGGGCUUAAUUACUGGUGCGAAGUAAUUAUUUCCUUUAUUAGUGAAACGUAACAUCUGUUUCAGGUCUUUUUAAUUGUACCUAUAAAACCCUUCCAUGAUUUCUGUCCCUUUAGGAUAGGACUGGGCUGCUUGUUGCUCCCUGCGGACUCACU